UGUAGAAUAAGCUAAAUUUAAGCUAUUGGGUUCAUACCCCAAAUAUGAAUUAUUAUUCUUUUACAG
rnacentral:tRNA from 1 species